UGGGGAAUUUUGGACAAUGGGCGAAAGCCUGAUCCAGCAAUGCCGCGUGUGUGAAGAAGGCCUUCGGGUUGUAAAGCACUUUUGUCCGGAAAGAAAUCCUUGGCUCUAAUACAGUCGGGGGAUGACGGUACCGGAAGAAUAAGCACCGGCUAACUACGUGCCAGCAGCCGCGGUAAUACGUAGGGUGCAAGCGUUAAUCGGAAUUACUGGGCGUAAAGCGUGCGCAGGCGGUUUGCUAAGACCGAUGUGAAAUCCCCGGGCUCAACCUGGGAACUGCAUUGGUGACUGGCAGGCUAGAGUAUGGCAGAGGGGGGUAGAAUUCCACGUGUAGCAGUGAAAUGCGUAGAGAUGUGGAGGAAUACCGAUGGCGAAGGCAGCCCCCUGGGCCAAUACUGACGCUCAUGCACGAAAGCGUGGGGAGCAAACAGGAUUAGAUACCCUGGUAGUCCACGCCCUAAACGAUGUCAACUAGUUGUUGGGGAUUCAUUCUUAGUAACGUAGCUAACGCGUGAAGUUGCACCGG
rnacentral:rRNA from 1 species